ensembl:lncRNA
CUCAAAUUUGCGACUCGAGUCUGACUCGAGUCAAGUCAUGUGACUCGAGUCCCCCAUGUCUGCCAGUACCUACUCGGUAUAACCUACUAAGAGCCCAUUCUGUGAUUAAACCAUAGGUAGCACAUCCUGUCAGACCUGGUUUAGGAGCAGAACCGAAAUCAUGUUCUGUCAUCACCACCGAAGCUGCGAUCUCCUCCAUCGGCUCUUAUUCAAAGGGCAGCGGUUGCUCCAGAGGAAGGGCUGGGUGAACGUCAUGGCCUAACCAUUGUUGAAGUGCGCCGGAAGUGUUCAUGCACAACGAAGACAAGUCCCGCCACCGGAACCCGGAAGCGUGAUAAUCCCCUAUUGGAUGCAGUUGGAAUAACUGAGGUCUGCCCGGAUGCUACAUCCAUUUUCUAUACUGUCACAUCAUGGACUUCACGACAUCCAGCUCAGAUUGCGUAGUCGUGCGUGUGCGCGUGUCGGCUCAUUACCAUAUGUACCGUGGCCUGAGCACACCCCUCCAAAGUGCUCAGGCCAUGGAAAGAACUGUACUUGAGUACGGUUGGCGUGCUCACACUAGCCAAACGAUCUAGAUUUUAGAGUUGUCAAACGGACUAGGGCACGGUACAGAUGGCCUAGUGUGAGUGAGCCCUUAAGCAACGAGACAAGCAUGAUACAAGUGUGAAAGCCAGCCUUUAAAUUCUAGUAUUUUGAUCAGUAAAGGUAUUCUGUCCUAACAACUGCGUCCUUGGAAGGCGUAGACAGAUAGCUAACUAGAAAGAAUGUGGAAUGAAUGAAGCUCCAGAACGUUUCUUCGAUGCAAAUGUUCUUUUACUGUUUACAUUGUUGCUCUCAUUCUUUUUAAGUAAAACUGUAAAAUAAACAGAAAGACAUCAAAUUACCAUAUGUCAAAUUACUAUCUCAUCAACAUGUGCAUUAUAUUCACAAGCAGCAU